GCGCGGUUGUCAUGGUGCGGCCCCGGGCGCGGCCGCCAUGGACGAGGAGGACACGAGAGAUUUUAAUGAACGCUGUGCCCAGUGUUCAGAAGUGAACUGGGGUCUCACUGAUGGAGGCAGAUAUUAUUGCAGAUCUUGCCACAAUGUUACUGAGAGAAGUAGAGAAGUUGUAAACACUGAUUUUAUGACUAAUUCAAGAGUCCAGACAAUCUCCAAAGGUUCAAGAAAGCAGGAAAAAGCUGAUAGAGGCUGUGAAUGGUAUGUUUGUGAAGGCUUUCAACUUGUACUGAAGAAACAAGCUGAAGCUUUAGAAGCAUUAGGAGUAUGUCCACAAAUGAAGGAUGAAGUUCUGUACAAUUUUUGGAGGUGUUACCUUCAGAAGAGCAAACAGGCAUAUUGCAACAGACCAGCUGGGGAAACUGUCAAAGCAUUAUCAGUAUGUGAGAGCAGUACUGAUGUGGACAGUGAACCAGAAAGGCCCAACCUUCUGCACUUGCUGUCCCUCUCUGAAAGUGAGGGAGAUCUGCAGACUGACUGCAGCUUUGCCUCGUCCAUGAGCAAGGUUUCAGAAAGCACCUCUAUAUACUCUGGAUCAGUAGAUGGCAGCUUGUAUUUUAUGAAGAACCAAAAGGAGAAACUGAGGAUGACAAUGCCAAUGACCCUUUCAUUUUGUUAUAUGGCAUUACUCUGGUUGAGAGAACCGAUUACGCUGUCUGAGCUCUUAAGGUUUGUUGUUGAAGGCCAUAUUCCAUAUUUGAAUGUUUUUCAGCAUUUUCCGGAAAAGAUGAAAUUAUGUGGACUUGAUCUUAAGAUCUUUUGUGUAGAGUCAUGGCCUGUAUAUGAAGAAGUACACAACAAAAUGCUUGAGCUUGCGGCAUUUUUAGACCUACCUCGUUUCCCAGAUAUAACAGACAGCUGCUUUCUUCAUCCAGACAUGUUGUGCAUCAAGUACUUGAUGGAAGCUAAUUUACCUGAUGAAUUGCAUAAUUGGACUUGUCGAGUGGUGAAAAAAAUCGGUAUUGGAGAAGUGGAUUUCCUGACUCUCGUGCCUGGAAAUAAGUCAACAAGAAAAGUGAAAUAUGAUAUUCUUGCUGCUGCAGUUAUUGUAGUUGUGCUCAAGUUACUGUUUUUAUUAGAUGAUCACUAUGAAUGGUCACUUUCAGAUUUUGCUGAAGAAAGAAAUAAAAAUAACAAAGAAGGUGCUCUGUAUUUUGAGUUCAAGAAGUGGUACAAAGUGGUAAAACAUUCCUUGGAUGUGGAGCAAAAGAAAUUGGAUGAAGAAAGAGCCAAGUACCUGUGGAGAUGUGAAAAACCACUGUUUUAUUCAGUCAAGAAUAAAUCUAAAGUUCUAAAGAGAAGACAAAUGGUUGUGAAUUUACAAAAUCAGUUUGGCAAGCUGUCUGGUUCGGUGCGACGUGCUGAAAAGCCAAAUCCUUCAAGUUUUCAGUUAAGUUGGUCUGAAGAAAACACAGAUGGGAGUUGUUUUCAUGGGCAUAGCCUGAAGGGAAUUUUGCAAGAAAAAUGUGGUUUACUUACAGCCAUGAACCCUGACUAUUGGCUGUGUACAGUUAAACUAUGUAAUGAGAAACUGUGUGGUCAUCUGGCUCAUUACAGAGAAGUGGACUUUCCCCAGAGUUACCAUUUUGUAUUAAGGUUAUUUUCCUUUCUUCUGAGGAUUCAGCCCUCUUAUAUCCAUGAUGAGGAUGCUGCUGAAACAGUGAACAAGAGUAAGGAUUAGCAGAACAGGAGAUGGAUGCUUGUGUCCUCACAUGAGGUUAUUGCUGCCCUUGUACAGCUGCUAAGGGCAGCAUUUCCAGAGCCAGAACACAUCUUCCCAGUCCUCGGCAUCUACGCUCUGCCUCCAGCAGCACAUCAGGUGUGAAUGACCAGUGCGCGUAGAUGGUAAUUAUCAGGUAUGAGAUUUGAAAACCAUAUUUGUUAGGUAAGUCAUAACAGCAGCUAAUUCUUGUCCAGAAUAAAUCCCAUUUUUUCUAGAUGGCAGUGUCAAAAGACAGACUAGGAAGAGGGGCAUGCAGGAACAAGACAGUGCUUGGUCAGAUGGCUUCCAAUGUCAUACAAUUACGUGUGUGUGGGGGGGUUCCUUACGUUGGGGUAGGGUUCCUUACGUGUUUUUAGUGGGAUUCGUUUAAAAGGAAAUGAAUGCAUGAAGAAGGGAAGGAGAAAGCUGAAGGCAUGACAGAGGCAGAAGGAAGGGUAAAGGGAAGGACAUGAAAGGUGGAGGAGAGCAGUGUGAUUGAGGCAAAAAGGCUGAGCGAGGGAAGAAGUUAUAGGGAACACCAACCAGUGCAGAGCAAGGGGAGUCCUGCCAGAGCACUGCCACACCAGGCAUGGCUUUAGGCCGCAGCCAAGGCUCUGCCAAAUCCCUGUGUGCUUCUUGCCUGAUUUUACUUGGUGAUGAUGCAACCCAGUUAGUGACAUCACAUAAAUACACCUACCAGUGGUGUUGCAGAGUCUAGAUUGUGACCGGCAGAUUAGUCAGUGGUGUCACAAUCCAGUGUUUAUAUCAUUGUCUCCUGAAUGUGGAAGAGAUUGCUAUGGCGAUAACCAAGUUUUCAUCAGUGUAUCAGGCUGUUAAGAAAAGUCAUCCCUUUUGCAAAGGCAAACACCUUUGAGUUAUUUGGAAUAAAAUCAUGGUAAACUCAAGUUAAGUAGGAAUACCAAGCAUGGUACAUUACUAACAUUUUAGCAAUUUGGGUGCAAUGUAAACAUGUGACUGAACUCCAGCACGUACUGCAUCUGGGUCACCUACGGCUACAGGGCAAUAUUAUAUUUUAUUGUUAAUGAAAAGUUUGCACCUGUGCCAAAAAGCAGCAAUUGUGUCUGCAUAUCCCAGAAUUCUAUGAACAGAUGCAGGGAAUGUGAGGACUGAAUGACACCUAACAAAGCCAGCAGUCCUUCCCAGAGCUUGUGAUUUGGAGCUAUUUUUGUGAUUUCUGUUGGAAGCAAAGUGAGUUAUACUUGUUUGGAAAAAUGUAACUUUCUGACAUCUUCAUCAGAUUAUAGUAUUUUUUUCAUAUGCGAGGACAGGUAAGAAAUUCUUUUCUAUGUAAUCUUGAAUUAGAUUUUUUAAACUGUUUAAAAAUGUGGAAUACCUUUUACUGCAUGUCAUAAAAAACAAUUUACAUCAGUUCAUUUCACUUUGUAGAGAUCCUACUUCAGUAUUGAAUGAUAUUUAUCUUUGCCAUCCUAGUGGCAAUGUUUGCAGAUCUAAACAAAGCAUUUUGUUUCUAGAAUGCUAGUUGUAAUCCAGUCAGAGGAUAUUAAGCAACUUCCAGGAUUAGACCCUUAGUUAAAGUUUGUUCUCUUCAGUUUCCUAUUUCCUUUGGUUGGCUGCUUGAAUUGUCCUUCUAUAAUUUUGCAUUGGAGUAUAUCCUGUACAAAUAGGGAAGAGAUUUUGACCUAGAAGGAGAGACCUCUUAUUAGUUAGCAUACUUUUAAAUUACAGUAGCUAUCUGAAGCAUCUUGACAUCUGAUAGAUAGCAUCGUUGCUGUAUGGGUUUGAUUCAACUUGUUACUUAAACAAGCAACCUCCCACCCUUAUUUCUCAAGGAGAAACUGAAGAUCUUUCUGAUUUAACUUCAUGCAUGCCACUUUGGAUAUAGCUGGUGUGUUUGUGAUGUUGCUGCUGGUGUUAAACUGGAGGAUUUCGAUGCAUUUGCAGCAGUAACUGCAUUGUAAACCUCCCUUUCUCCACAAACCUGGGUUCAUCUGUAAGGCACCAAAUGACACAUGGAUCCACUGCCCUUGGGCAGCUGCUGUAGUGCUUGUGCAAAUGCACAGAAUCAGUCAGGUUGGAAAAGACCUCUGAGGUCAUUGAGUCCAACUAUGACCAAUCACCACCCUGUCAACUAGACCAUGGCACCGCCUGCCUUGUCCAGCCUUUCCCUGAACACCUCCAGGGACGGUGACUCCACCACCUCCCUGGGUAGCCCCUUCCACUGUCUUAUCAGUCUUUCUACAAAGAAAUGGCCCCAAACGUUCAAUCUAGGUCUCCCCUCCGCAGAUUAAAGUUAUAUUAAAAACAAUUCAUACAAUUGUGUUUCGUUUAGAUUUUCCUAAAAGUGGG